UGCGGAAGGAUCAUUAUUGAAAGAAAUGUAGUUGUAGCUGGUUCUUUUAGGAGGACAUGUGCACACUACUUUUAUCUUUAUUCACCUGUGCACUUUUUGUAGAUCUGAACUAGUUAAAUUUUCCAAGUGCUUGUGCACCUUGGGUUUGAGGAUUGUUUCAAUGACUCUCCUUGUAUUUAAUAAUUCAGGUCUAUGUUUUUAUAUACCCCAAUGUAUGUUAAUAGAGUGUAUUCAAUGGGCAUUGUGCCUAUUAAUUUUAUACAACUUUCAGCAACGGAUCUCUUGGCUCUCGCAUCGAUGAAGAACGCAGCGAAAUGCGAUAAGUAAUGUGAAUUGCAGAAUUCAGUGAAUCAUCGAAUCUUUGAACGCACCUUGCGCUCCUUGGUAUUCCGAGGAGCAUGCCUGUUUGAGUGUCAUUAAUAUCUCAACCUUUAUUAGCUUUUGCUAUAUAAAUGGCUUGGAUGUGGGAGUUGCUGGCUUUUUAUUUUAAAAGGUCUGCUCUCCUUAAAUUUAUUAGCUGGUACAUGGAUUCCAUCUAUUAGUGUGAUAAUUAUUAUCUACGCUAUUGAUAAACCUANUANUGCUUCAAACUGUCUUUGGACACUAAUGACAUUUUGACCUCAAAUCAGGUAGGACUACCCGCUGAACUUA
rnacentral:rRNA from 1 species